rnacentral:rRNA from 1 species
GACAGAGGAUGCAAGCGUUAUCCGGAAUUAUUGGGCGUAAAGGGCGCGUAGGCGGCUGAACAAGUCAAAGGUGAAAUCCCCCGGCUCAACCGGGGAACGGGCACCGAUACGGGCGGCCUCGAGGGGGGUAGGGGGGUCUGGAACUUCCGGUGGAGCGGUGAAAUGCGUUGAGAUCGGAAGGAACGCCCGUGGCGAAAGCGAGGCCCUGGACCCUUUCUGACGCUGAGACGCGAAAGCCAGGGGAGCGAACGGG